GAUGAACGCUGGCGGCGUGCCUAACACAUGCAAGUCGAGCGGCAGCGAGGGGUGCUUGCACCCUGCCGGCGAGCGGCGGACGGCUGAGUAACGCGUGGGAACGUGCCCCAAAGUGAGGAAUAACUGCCCGAAAGGGUAGCUAAUACCGCAUAUUAUCUUCGGAUCAAAGGAUUUAUCCGCUUUGGGAGCGGCUCGCGUCAGAUUAGGUAGUUGGUGAGGUAAUGGCUCACCAAGCCGACGAUCCGUAGCUGGUCUGAGAGGAUGACCAGCCAGACUGGAACUGAGACACGGUCCAGACUCCUACGGGAGGCAGCAGUGAGGAAUCUUCCACAAUGGGCGAAAGCCUGAUGGAGCAACGCCGCGUGCAGGACGAAGGCCUUCGGGUUGCAAACUGCUUUUAUAAGUGAGGAAUAUGACGGUAACUUAUGAAUAAGGAUCGGCUAACUACGUG
rnacentral:rRNA from 1 species